AUUGAACGCUGGCGGCAGGCUUAACACAUGCAAGUCGAACGAGCGGCGGACGGGUGAGUAAUGUCUGGGAAACUGCCUGAUGGAGAGGGAUAAAUACUGGAAACGGUAGCUAAUACCGCAUACCAUCAGAUGUGCCCAGAGUGGAUUAGCUAGUAGGUGGGGUAAUGGCUCACCUAGGCGACGAGCCCUAGCUGGUCUGCGAGGGUGAACAGGCACACUGUAACUGAUACACGGUCCAGACUCCUACGGGAGGCAGCAGUGGGGAAGAGUGGACAAUGGUCGCAAGCCUGAUGCAGCAAUGCCGCGUGUGUGAAGAAGGCCUUCGGGUUGUAAAGCACUUUCAGCGAGGAGGCGUUACUCGCAGAAGAAGCACCGGCUAACUCCGUGCCAGCAGCCGCGGUAAUAC
rnacentral:rRNA from 1 species